GUAUCUAACAAGGUGUAAAUACAAUAACAAGCAUGUAAUUAAGUGAGCAUGAUGAAGUUAAUGGAGAUAAUUCAUUCCAUUUUGGGCUUAUGAAUAUUCUAUUAGAUGUUAUCAGGCAGCUGGAAUAGCUGUUAAUUUAAUCAUCAUUCAGACCAGCAAAAUGUUCUUUGUGCGAGUAUAAUUGCAGAGAAUGAAUAAUUGAUUUGACAAUUGUACCAGUGGAUUUCAAACAGUUCUGUGCGCUCUCAGAGCAGGAAGGGAGGAGAACUGGAAUACUCAAAGCAGUGAAGAGGUGGCAGAGAAGCCAGCCUGUAAAUUGAACAUUAUCAGGACACAGAUAAAGGACAAUUUUUAUUUUAUCAAUGCAACACAAUUACAUUACAGUGCGCUAGUAAUCACUCUGCCCACACUUUAAAAAGGGAAAUAAAUUACUCUUCAUGGGAAAGGACAAAAAGAAAUAUCAAAACCGUUUAGAAACCAUUGAUAUUGGAUAUUUAAUUUUUUGCAUUAUAUUUUAUUAUAGGAAAUAUCAAACUGUGUUUGAAAUUGCUGGCACAUUUAACUCUGUUACCUGCAAUCAAAUACACAGAUUGUAUUUUACAUGUAUCUCUGUAUUACAGCAUGUUCUAUGAAUUACAAUGAUUUUAUUGCAAUUUAAAAAAAAAAAAAAAAACAACAACCUCCCAGCACCCAUAUCUUCAAAAGACAUUUUAGGAUACAAAGGUACUUCACACCUAAAGUAGCCGAGCUCUGGCCUGGUUAGAGCAAAUACAAUAAAAAAACUAAACAAAAUCCCUUAACACUACCACAAAACAAAGUGCUGUGACUUUAUUUCACUUGAGAAACAAAACUGUGAACAUUUAAAGUACUGAAAGAAAGCGAAGGAAAUUUCUUUCCAAAAUUCAGUUUCAUGAAGGCUGACAAUGAAGGUCCUAGCCUCAACAUAACUUUGGUACAUGAAGCUGAACAUGCUGCCAUACCUUUUUGCUGCUGUAUAUGGAUUAUCAGUUCCCAUAACUUAAGACACUGUACACCAAGUUGCACACACACGUACAUUAUGUGCAGAUGUUAAAGCCAGUCUGUGCAAUACCUCAAAACAGAAAACUAUUUAAACAAGUGAAAUGGAUAUGUAUGCAAUCAUUUAUUGGUCACAGGCUUAAAAUGCUAAGUGAGGAGAGAGUAGGAUUUUCUCUACCUCUGUGUGCUGAAGCUAUAUGGGUAGUUUUAAUAUGGUUCAUAAAGGUACUGGAGUAUAAAAUUCAAUGCAGGCUGCACUGGUAUAGCCAGGAUUCUGCAGGGUAGCAGGGUGUGGCUCACUAUAUUCUAGGGGGAAGGUCAGGAGGCAGGCAGUAUUUCUAUGAGGAAAGGCAGCUUUAGUUUUCAGCCAAGGACUUACAGGAUUCCUUGCAUUCAGAAGCUAUUUUGUAGACACAACUAAGGAUAUUCCAACUGUCCUACACCCAUGUGUAGUUGGUGCCAUUCACUUCUUGGACUAUGGUGGAAAGGGGUUAUUAGUGUUUUGCUCGGUCAGCCUUUGCCACAUUGGUAGAUUUUAAAUCUAGUACUAGGGUAGAAAUAGCAGAAAUUGCCAUAAACGAAGGUUUUAGUUAAUCUUUUCUCUCUUUCUGUCUUUUUGUCAAAUACAAGGUUUACUAACUCUGUGUGCUAACUCUCACAUCUGGUCAAAGGUCUUUCACACAUAGUCAACAGUAAAUCAGGAAUAUUCAAUUAAGAUAACUAACAAUUCUACUACCGUUCAGCAAGCUGUAUUAUUCCAAACACUAAUGGCUGAAAACAUUCAGUCAUUCCAUUUAACAUUUCUAUUACGACAUGUACUUUAGUUAUUACUUGAUCUUUAUCUCUAGAAAGAUAACUGAAUAUCAGUUAAUAUAUGAUCCUAUGGGGUGCCAUAAAACUUUUUAAUAUUGUGAUUUUUUUGGAUGAACAUAUCACACCUGAACAGAGCUGCCAGGCGCGAAUAUUCUUAGCAUCUCUUUAAUUUCAGAACAAGUACUAAACACUGUAUUAUUAACACCCUAUAUUUAACACACCUUUUGGAAUUUUUGAUUCCUAAACCUAGGAUGGUAAGAUUUCUUUAAUACAUGAGUUUAAAAGUAUCAAUGGACUGGAUGGAGUUAGGGACACGUUAUACCUGUACACUAUCAUUAGAAAAAGGGUGAUAGAUAGAUAGAUAGAUAGACAGAUAGAUAGAUAGAUAGAUAGAUAGAUAUAGAACAGGUGUAAACAAAAAAUGUUACCCAAACAAGCAACUCUUGAGAGGGUCCCUGUGGUGCUAUUUGAGAACUUCUACUUCACCAAAUGCCAUAGAACACCAAAGUAUAAUGUAGCAUGCAAGCAUCAUAUAGGCAAAUCUUCAUUUUUGGACCUUCCUAGCUUUGAAAUUGUUGACAUCUCAAAAAUAAAUGGUACAUAUGCUGUAACCUGAUUACAUUUUAACAUAACAGCACAUCAAUGUUUGUUUCAAUUAAAAGAAAAAUGAACACAGAAACCAAAGCAGGCAAAUGUUACAAUUUCUGUAUUGCUUCCAGGAUGUUAAAUAGCAUAGGCUUUGAAUGGCUGGAAGAAAAACAUUUGCAGAGGCAUGGGCUCUCCUCUGAGUAUGUUCAUUGUUGGUUCCAAAGGGUUCUGUUGCAGGAAUGAACAGCAUGAGUAAGUCUAUUGGGUGGCAACAGACUAAGCAGGCAGAUGCAGUGAAAAAUCAUUUAUAUAAUCAAACCCUGGCGUCUAUACACAUGCGGAGAAACUGCUCUGACAUGUUGUAAUUACAAUGCAUUGGAACAGACUCAAUUAAUCGAGUCUGCUGGAGCAUGGUAAUUACUGUGCUCCAGCAGACUCCAGCAUCAAUGUAUUAGCACUGACGUGCUGAAAAAUGGUGGCAGGGGCGCUUUAACUAAAGCUGGUUUGAUGAGCUUUAGUUAAAGAGUCCCUGCCACCAUUUUUCAGAGCAGAGACACUGAUGCGUGUGAUGCUCCAGGUGCUUUAAUUAGAGCAGCUCUAAUUAAAGUGCCCCUCCCCCCAGAGCAUGUCUAUAAAUGUCCCUAAAGACCAGCUCUUUAUAAAUCAGGAGUAUCACCUGUCUUUGAAUAUACUUGUAAACCACACAUUUUCAAAAGCCUGUAAAAAAUCCUCAUUACUGCUCCCUGUACUGCUUCAUCAACACUGGAUGUGUAUAUUCUUGAUGUAAAAAUUGAAAUGUAAUUGUGUGAAUUCUACUCAUGUACAAACUGUUGGCUUCCAUCUACUUAUAGAAGUUGACGUGAUACUUAUAAACCGGUUUAUGUUUUUCUUGCCAUUAGGAAUAACCUAGUUAUUUUUAAAAACAGACCUGAAUUCCUAAUUUUUUUUUCAUUUACUUGCAAAAAGUCAUUUAAUUCAGUAACAAGUUCUGACUUGUAUGUCUCCUUAAGCUUCAUCUAGCUGCUUUUGUGCUUUAGUCAGAUGCCAGUUAAGAAUCCAGUUGUAAUGGAUGCGGAUUCCAACUCAUCUUCCUGGGAAGCCAUUUCAGUACAGAGAUCAUCCAUUUGUGCAGGGCAAAAUUCCAAAAGUUCCUGGACAAAACUUUCUUUAUACAACAGAGGAACUAUAUGACUGCAACCUCCAAAACUGAGAACUGGCCUUAAAAACUCCAAGAUAUCUCUUUUGCCUUUUGUUUACAGCCUAAUUGACUGCACCCCUGUUCUAGGCAGCUCUCAAUAAGUUACACUAACAGCUGUCCAGAUUCAAGAAUUCAACAUAUAUUGUCACAGCAGCUCAAGAACUCAUCCAAAGCUCAUCUUUCUCACUGCCAUUUGACUUAGCCCCCCAUAAACACAGCAUUAUUAAGCUAGUGUUAUCAUACAUUGAAGGGAUUCCUGGACAUAGCCUCUUUUUGGGUCCUCCCAUCUCCAUCCAGGUGGUUUUUUAAAAUAUCAGCAAAUGUCCAGGAUUUUGCUUUGCCUCUGCUUUCCCGGUACUUCCCAGCUUGCCCUAGCAAAGAGCUGCUUGAGGCUGGGGGGGGGGGAGGGGGAGGGCUGUCAUGUGGUCUGCACAUGAGCACUGACAGCUGCAGGCAGUGUUAAAAGGAACAACCAUGCAAUCCUACAAAACUAUCAAGAUAAGUUCCUCGACUACAAGGACAUAAGAAUUUAUUAAAUGCCAGGUGCAAGAACAGCAAAAUCUUAACUGCACUGGUCACAACUUUGCCAAGAUAAGAGGAGAAUGUUCACUUCAAGUAGAAAUGGAGAAAACCUAACUAAUAACUAUUAACACUUUGUACUUCCAUACUGCCAUCUAUUGGAGGUUUUUUAACUACUUCACAAAUAUUCAAUUAACUCCCACAACACUCUUAUGAGGUAAGUAAUGUUUUCAUUUUACAAAAAGAACCAGAAGGCGUUAUGGUCCUCUUUUUGAAAAGUAUGUCACUAAAGGUAGCUUUAUGUCUCUAAAAUUAGAUUUAUUCAGUCACCUAAAUAAAUUACCUCAAUAGUCGAUGUUUUUAAUAUGUUCAGUGUUCACUGACAUCAAUGGCUGUGGAUGUUCAACAUGUUUGAAAAAUCAUGUCUAUUAUUUACAUGGUUAAAUUUGAAUUAUCAAACUAUGCAAGUUUGAAAAUUAAGAUCUAGGCGAUUUGUUCAAAUUUUUACAGGAAGUUAAUGGCAAGCAGAACCCAGAUCUUGUAACUUGCAAUUUUGUACUAUAAAGGAAAAUGAUCUAGGUUUAAACCAAAAAAGGUAUAUGGGCUCCUAAACUCCCACUGAUUAUCCCAAUUAGAAGUUGAAUUGAGGCACCUAAGUACCAGUUUUGGAUCUACACCUAGUGAUUGAAGUGAAAGAGUCCCCUGUUAAAAAUGAUCAGAGCAUAAGUAGAUCAUAUAUAUGAUAACAAUAUAUUGUCAUUUUACAAUACUAUAACCACAAAAGUAAUUAUUCAGAUGUUUCAGGUAUUAUUCACCAAAAAAUUCAGCAGAAACAGUAAGUAAAAUAUUCUUUCUUUCUUAACUUUCACCACCUAUAAUAAUCCCUCUGUUUGUAUUUUAUUAGAAAAGAACUGAUUUUAAAAAGUCAUCUAAUGUUACAAUCCUCAUCCACAGCUGCCAUCUGUCCUACAGUACUAGUAACAGACCCUUUCAUUCACAAGCAAAGUCAGCGGAAGAAAGAGGAAGAGGAGGAGGAGCUGAAGGGGAAGAGAGUGAGAAAGCGGAUAAAUUCCAUUUGAGCUAUUAAAAAAAUAGAAAAGUGAACUCAGUGGUUGAAAAGUGAAGAUAAAAAGAUGAAAACAGUAAUCUUGCUACAGAAACCAGAGAAUUAUGCUCUUGCUCUCUCCCCUUUUUUUGCUUUCACACUGCACAAACUCUAGCACCCUGAACAACUCACUCCCCUGCUAUUUCCAGCACUUUAAAGAAACUUUUCAACAUUUCUGUUUGACACAUAUUUUCAACAGUGAGGUGAAGACAAUAAGUAAACAGGUAGUGAAGGGCUAUUUAGAGAGCUGGUCAGUCACAGUAAUAAUAAUGUAAAAAAAAAAAACCUUCACACAGAACAGAACAUCUAUCCUAUACGAUGUAGCCAUAGACAGCACAUGACCUCUGACAAACAGUUUUCAGAGUAAUUUUAAUGCUACUCUGGAUUUAACUUGACUAACUGGUAGCAAUUGAGCACAUCUUUUUUUGUGGCAGCAGUUAUCUAAAAUGCUACAAUAACAGCAUCAAAAGUAGAAUGGUGGAAGAUUGGUUUUCCAUUGUGCUGCUGAACUGGCAUAAUGCCCACUUUAAAAGCAAUUCGCUGCUCAUCACUGAAAUCUGGCAGACACGACACUAAAUGCCUCAAGGAAAAAAAAGGGUCUUAAGAAGGGGGAACUACUCCAACCAACAAGCAAAGGAAGGGGGGAAAAAGUGAAGGAUGAUGAAUCUAUGUAAGAAGAGAAAAUUGCAAAAUAAAAAGUUUAGCACUGCCUGUAGACUCAACAGGCUUUACUUAAUUUGCUUGAAGAUUUUAACGCAGACUUGCAUUAGUAAUAGCAGAACAAAACAAAAGCAAAUAUAUAUUUACGUCUGUCUAUUGUUCCGAUGAAGUGAAAAUGUACUGAGUUACGUCAAUCAUUUGUCAAACACGUCUUACUAGUUUUAUUUACCACCAAAUAUAAUGAGUAAAUAUGUGAUAAUAAAACUCUUCUUUUUACAUGGACAUAUACAAUUUUUCCCCCUACUAAAUACAGGUAAUGAUUUAGGAAGCUUUCAAAAUGUCUUUUUACUGUCAAUAAAACUAAUUCUAUUCCCAUUUUCAUGUAAGAAAGGCUUUACAAAUGAAAAUUCAAAUUAAAAUUCUGAUUACAGUGUAGUGUGACAACACCUGUAUUUAUAAUUUUACUGUCAGCUAGCUUGUAGUGUUUAACAAUAGCCUGAAGCAGAAAAGUAAUUGGAAUUUGUCUGUAACAUGCCAGAUGACGACACUGGGCACUCUGCUGCGCUAAAGCAAAUUUGGUGUGAUGACAAAAUAACCUUAAAUAUCUAGGGAACCCAAAAGGUUAAAUAAAGUCCAUUCAGGGACAUCUCAGUGACUGAGGUAAGACAAAAUAGAUGAGAAGUGGCUGCAGUGGACAAAGUACAGCUGUUGAUAGAGCUUUUGGCCUUUUUCCAACAAGUAUCCCUCACUUAACAAAACACAGUCUAUUUUUAACCCUAGAGUUUUUCUAAAUGAUCUGUUAUUCCUAAAAUUAACUAACAGCAUAUUUUGGGACAAAUAAAAAGGAAGAAGAAAGAAUACAUUAGCAUCAGGCAGAAAAACUCUUAAUAUAUUUCAAUCUUAAUAGUUCUGUUGAUUUUCUAUUAGUAAAGGAAAAAACGCAAAGAACAUAAAAUUACUUGGUGAUAAUUGGAAAAUAUUCUAGGUACUGUAUUUGUUUUCCUACUGCACAUAUCCACACAAGUGUACAAGCUGAUAUACAUCAAAAGGUUAAGUAAAAACUUAAACAUCCCACUUUCACGUUUAAAGUAGUAGUAUGAAAAAUUAUUUAUAGCAGUUCUCUGCUGUCAACUUGAAUAAUUUAAAACUCAAAUGCUGAUCUCUGUAUACAUCUCAUCUUACUUUAGUCUACAAAUGAAAAAGGCACAUUUUUCAUUAUCCUAAAGAUAAAAAAAAUAAAGAAAAAGGAAGCCACAUAAAAAAGAAAAACAGAAUGACAGUGAUGUUUUAGUUUACACUAGAUAUGGCAACACACACAAACUGUCAAAACUAUGGAGUGAAAAAAGCUGUUAUCAAGCAACUGUCAAGAUAGUCCUCUGAGAUUUGGAAAUCUUGUGUUUAUUGUAACUACUGCACAUUACACAAAGAAAGAAACAUCCCUCUUCUUACCGUUGCUGCUAAAUAUCAUGCAAGAGAACCUAGACUUCUUCCUCACUAUUUAGAUUAAUUUUUUUUCCCCGUGUAAUUCUGUGCUUGACAGCACUGCUCCCCUUCUUUAAGGUUUUCUAUUGUUUGGUCAAAGUUCAGAGAGAAACUUGAGGUUAUAUCAAACAUUAUUUCAUUUUCAAGAACUGUCAACACCCAUUUUAUGUUGUUAACUUGUUGUCCAUCAUUUAGGAGUAGAAACUGUUAACAUCAAAAUGCACAGAGGAAGGAUUUCUACUUUCUAGCUUAGCAAGGAUAUGCAGAAAGAGUCAGUGGACGGGAAAUGGAUAUUUACUAGAUGCUUUUAAGCAUCUCUCUCUCUCUCUCUCUCUUUCUAUAUAUAUAUAUAUAAAAUGUAUUUGCAUAUGUAUAUUGUUUAGAGUUGAGGCUUAUGAUAAAUGGGCAAUAAUACACAGGGGUGUAAGCAGAGGGCAGGGGUGCAAGUUGGAAUUUACUUUUGAUUUAUAAAGAAAUUAUUAUCCCUUGGAUAGAAUUUUACUGCAUCUUUUAUGAAAUUGUUUGGACUGACUUCAGGAUCACACAACCCUCUCAGCCAAGAGCAGUGUUCCAGCUAUAAAAUCUAUGUCAAAAUUAUGCAAGUAAAAAUUGUUUUAUAUUUCA